GACGAACGCUGGCGGCGUGCUUAACACAUGCAAGUCGAACGGAAAGGCCUCUUUCGGGGGGUACUCGAGUGGCGAACGGGUGAGUAACACGUGAGUAACCUGCCCUUUACUUUGGGAUAACUUCUGGAAACUGGGGCUAAUACCGGAUAGGAGCUCCUGCUGCUUGGUGGGGGUUGGAAAGUUUCGGCGGUUGGGGAUGGACUCGCGGCUUAUCAGCUUGUUGGUGGUGUAUUGUCUUACCAAGGCUUUGACGGGUAGCCGGCCUGAGAGGGUGACCGGCCAAAUUGGGACUGAGAUACGGACAAGACUCCGACGGGAGGCAGCAGUGGGGAAAAUGGAAAAAGGGGUGGAAGCCAGAGGCAGAAAAGCCGAGUGCGGGAUGACGGCCUUCGGGUUGUAAACCGCUAUCGCUAAUGACGAAGCUUUGAGUGACGGUAGUGGGUAAAGAAGCACCGGCUAACUACGUG
rnacentral:rRNA from 1 species